AAGGGGAGCACAAAGGAUUCUUUUCGAGGGACAGUGCGAAGGUGUCAAGUAGAGGGAGGCGAUCCCGAGCCGCUCAGCGUGGUUUCGUCGGACGCCAGCGUCGGAGAUCGUCCAAUUUGAAGUGAGGAGGAAGGGAAGAAGGGAGAACCCGGAGAAGGUGCUCAAUCAAUGGGGAAGGCAGCUUUAGUUCGAGCAAUACCUUCUGAAGAUGCCUUGCGCCCUCCCUGGUCAUCAUUAGGGAUGACGGAUAGAGAAGAACGGAGAGGGACGUCUUGGAGGAGCUAGGGUUGUAUCUCAUGAGGACAGCUCCUUUUGCGUUUACCCUGAAGGAUUUUUAACCAUGAUACCACGCCAGAACAAAGAGCGAAGGUCAUCUAUUCUCCCGAGCAUCUAAACCUGUCGUGGGUUCAUCCAUGAAUAUGAUAGAAGGGCUUGAAACCAACUCCACUGCUAUCGUCAGACGUUUCCGUUGUUCUGCUUCUUUCUGAAGAAGCUGGCCAUAAUGGGAAGAGCCAAAGGAAUCUGAGAACUUCUGCACGGGUACGUACUGGAGACAAGUGAUCAGGAACCUGUUAACUUUAAGGAACAACUGGUUGUUGGUACCUCUUGAAGGAAGUUGGCGACGUUCUUCCUAUCAGGACAUUUGAAGCCCAUCGACUCAAAAAAUUCAAGAACAUGUUGCCGUGGUCCUUGGAGGCUGACACCGAUGCAAAUUUUGGAGAAAAUCAAAAUACACUGUGAUACACACAGGAUUAUGCAAGUGUGUCAACAUCAGUGAUUGUUGUGUCACUAGAAUUUGUAUUCUGUCUUGUGAUAGCAGAUAUCUAUAGAAAAGAACAGAUUCCAACUUUCAUGUUGGACAAAUCCUAGCUAUCAGUUAUCGUCAUGUUGCCGAUAUGGUAUCAUCAACUUUGAACCUUAAAGAGUCAAAGUUCAUUGUCGAAUGUCUUGGUUAUUGUAAUAUCUUUAAAUCACUCUGUAAAUUAAAAUAUGACAUUCUACACUUU